GCUGAGUGUGGUGGCAUUCACCUGUAGUCCCAGCUACUCAGGAAGUUAAGGAGGGAGGAUCACUUGAGCCCAGGAGUUUAAGGUGUAGUGCACUAUGAUCUUGCUGGUGAAUAGCCACUGCAUUUCAGCCUGGGCAACACAGUGAGAUCCCAUCUUUA
rnacentral:SRP_RNA from 1 species